rnacentral:tRNA from 1 species
GGUGGCUCAGUGGUAGAGCAUUUGCCUUAUAUGCUCAAGGCCCUGGGUUCGAUUCCUCAGCACCA